rnacentral:rRNA from 1 species
AUUGAACGCUGGCGGCAUGCCUUACACAUGCAAGUCGAACGGCAGCAUGAUCUAGCUUGCUAGAUUGAUGGCGAGUGGCGAACGGGUGAGUAAUAUAUCGGAACGUGCCCAGUCGUGGGGGAUAACGUAGCGAAGGUUACGCUAAUACCGCAUACGAUCUAAGGAUGAAAGCGGGGGAUCGCAAGACCUCGCGCGAUUGGAGCGGCCGAUAUCAGAUUAGGUAGUUGGUGGGGUAAAGGCUCACCAAGCCAACGAUCUGUAGCUGGUCUGAGAGGACGACCAGCCACACUGGAACUGAGACACGGUCCAGACUCCUACGGGAGGCAGCAGUGGGGAAUUUUGGACAAUGGACGCAAGUCUGAUCCAGCCAUUCCGCGUGCAGGAUGAAGGCCCUCGGGUUGUAAACUGCUUUUGUACGGAACGAAAAGGUCUCUCUUGAUACGGGGGACUCAUGACGGUACCGUAAGAAUAAGCACCGGCUAACUACGUGCCAGCCGCCGCAGUAACAC